UACGUAGGUGGCAAGCGUUGUCCGGAAUUAUUGGGCGUAAAGCGCGCGCAGGCGGUCCUUUAAGUCUGAUGUGAAAUCCCCGGGCUCAACCUGGGAAUUGCGUUUGAUACUGCGGCGCUGGAAUGCAGGAGAGGAUGGCGGAAUUCCCAGUGUAGAGGUGAAAUUCGUAGAUAUUGGGAAGAACACCGGUGGCGAAGGCGGCCAUCUGGCCUGUAAUUGACGCUGAGGCGCGAAAGCGUGGGGAGCAAACAGG
rnacentral:rRNA from 1 species